ACUCACGCUUUGUAUACUAACUUUGAGUUUUCUUUUGUUAUCAAAUACAGUAUUAGCUCGAGUACAGUAUGCAUCUCCAAGCCAAAAAAGAAGUUUGGGAACAAACACUAUUAAGCGAGAUCAAGAUCGGUGCAUCGGGCAGUAAUUCAGGGAGAGAUCCUUCAUGUAAUAAUAGUUGUAAACCUAACCGGCAUUAACCAAAAAAAAAAAAAAAAUCUCUGUCGCAAGUUGAUCUAGUUUGGCAAAGUCAGUGACAUAUUAAGAUAUGUAUCUUGCGCUUCAAGUUGAACGUUUCGACCUAUUCUCUCCUGUUAGAUUACAUUUUGAUCGAUUUCAUAAUCUUCCUUCUCUUUUCAUGAUUGAUCGCAAUAACUAACACUGAAUACCACAUGUUCAAAUGUGUGAUGCCUAUACCACUUGACACUUCACGACCACUCCAGUAGAAAU